UUUGUGCAAGCAAAGCAAGAGGUUUUCGGAACUUUGAUAGGCCAUAUGAGGUGUUGGAAAUUGAAAUGGAAAGAUGGGGGACAAGGAGGGCAGUGCCAAAUCAAGGAACCUUAAAAUUCAAGCAAUGGUUGUCGUCAUUAACAACAGGGAAUGGCGUUUUAAGGUGUGAAGCUCCAAAUGUGUAGCUUAUAUUAUCACACUGUCUUCAGCAAAAAAAGGAUUGUGCAAAGAAUUGAUUGUCUAUGAGGGUUCAUAAAGGCAGCCAUGUCCAUCAUGACUGCUCCAUCUGGACAUGCGUGACCAGUAAGAGCAAACCCUAGACGGCCUAGAUGGAGAGAUGACAACACGAGUGAUUUUAAUGUGCCACUGCGGUAUUGAAUUACUUGUCUGUUAUGUUCCAUGUAUGUUGCUGUGGAUGCCCGCUGACACCUUGAUUCUCUAUCUAGAUGUCUCUGUCAUCACUCUUAACCUAAUAUUUGUUACAGUGAAUAGAGAGUUAGAAUAGUUUUUUUUUCCU